rnacentral:tRNA from 1 species
CAGAGCGUUCCGCAGAUGGCUAAACGGGCUUGUUUUGGAAACAAGUGUUCGCAGGUUCAAAUCCUGCCGCUCUGACCA